GCACCCGUAGCUCAUUUGGAUAGAGCGACUGCCUCCGGAGCAGUAGGUGGUGGGUUCGAGCCCCGCCGGGUGCACCA
rnacentral:tRNA from 2 species